AAUGCAAGUGUUUAACAGAUGCUUCACUAUUAAAAUAUUUUCCCCCCAAGUCUCAAAUAUUGAAGAAUCUCUAACCAGGCUCGAAACGCCGGUCUCAGUGGCUAUUGAGUUACCCACCAAGUUACCCCGGUUAGAGCUGUUUGGGGUGGCUCACGUUAUUGCGGCAAACUUUGGAGAUGACGGCUGAGUCCUCCGGGCGAACAUGUCAAGCCGAUUGUAAAUGCUGUUAUUUCCACAUCCUUCAGGGACACCAGUCCCUACGAAGACCUUGGGCGAUUUUGAAGUGCGGGCACCUCGAUUCCCCGAAUCUGUAGUGUGGCUGGUAUCGGUGUUCCCCUGGUUUAACUAGCCUGUUUGCGGGCAUCUGUGGAAAGCAGGUUUAGUUAUCGGAGGGGAACCAUUAAACGCCAGUUUAAGAGGCAGGCCGGGAGGACGGCUCGUGGAUGUUGAGACUGCUGGCCUUGGUGAUCUUGAACGCAUUAUAACGGAAAAUGGAUCUCCACUUGUAAGUCAC
ensembl:lncRNA HAND2-AS1 HAND2 antisense RNA 1